GCGUUAAGAAUGUCAGCCGCGUCGUGGCCAUGGCCACCAAGAAGGUGUCGGCCAGGCCUGCUGCUGGAGGCAAGAAGUCGUGGAUCCCCGCUGUGAAGGGUGGAGGUAACCUCACCGACCCCGAGUGGUUGGAUGGCUCGUAAGUUUCUUCACUUUUAGCUUAUGACAAUUGCGUUAGAGACGUAAGUGAAUAUUAGAGCUUUUCUAAAUGCAAUCGAUACUGUAUUUGUAGUGAUGGGUUAUUUCAUGGAUGUAGUGCUCGUGUAGUGUUAGACUUCAGUUGAGAGGCUGCAUUGCUAUCUUGAUUGCCUCCAGACCUUGCGCAACUCAAAGGAUGUCGGUGUGUAAUGAUGGUAUGCGCCCCGCUGCAUCGCCCGAUUUAGAAAAUUGGAUGAGAGGGUGUCUAAUUGUGUUUUGUUCGUACAGUCACUAACACUGUUAAUGUUUUUGUGUAGUCUUCCCGGCGACUACGGAUUCGACCCCUUGGGCUUGGGCAGGGACCCCGCCGCCUUGAAAUGGUAUAGAGAAGCAGAGCUCAUCCACGGAAGGUGGGCAAUGGCUGCCGUUGUCGGUAUCUUCGUCGGACAGGGAUGGAGCGGCGUUCCAUGGUUCGAAGCUGGUGCUGACCCCGCCGCGCUGGCACCAUUCUCGUUCGGAAGUCUGUUGGGCACCCAG
rnacentral:lncRNA from 1 species